CCGGUCAAAAAAUAAGCGUUCCUUCCGAGAAAAACAGUUGGCACUACGAGAUGCACUUUUGAAAAAGAGAAAAAGAAUGAAGUAACUUCCUGGCAAGUUUUCCAUUCCUAGAAGAAUGCUAAGUUUGUGUCCUUGCUCUGAAAAUUGGUAAAUCAAGCAUGUUUGUUUACAUUAAAAAGUCCAGACACACUGUAUUGUGAAAACUGCUGAACAUGUGGCAGCAAUUUUGUGUUUUUAUUUUGGAGACGGCUAAUGGUAGGAAUGUUAAUGUAAAUAGUGGUGGUAAUGUAAAAUCAUUUCAUUUAUCAUUCAUGCAAAAAAAAGUAUGUAUUGAGUGCCUAUUCAUUGUCACUGUAGAUGCAAAACGAAUGAGCUGUAACCCCUUCACUCAAGGCAUUGACAGCUUAGCUGUGAGGGUGGACACACAUAUGUGUAUUUACAGUGCAGUGUAAAUAGUUCUGUAGUAGAGGUUAACUCCAUAUUUCUGUGAGGUCACUGAGGCCUUAUGGACUAACUCUGUGAGGAUAGGAGUUAUAUAUUCUUAUAAGACAAAACAAAACAGGACAAUGUUACAAGAGUAAGAGGUUCUUACUUGUACAUAGGCUUUCCUGCUGAAAACAGGCCCCUGCUGUACAGAUUUUGGGUACAUAAUUUAGCUCUUUUAGUCAAUCCAAGAGAUUUAAGUGACCCCCCCCCCCCCGUGUUUUUUUUGUUUUUGUUUUUGUUUUGAAUGCCAUGUAAAGGCUUUUUGGUUAAGACCUCACUUUUAAAACUGCCUUAAGUAUAAAUAGUACCUUUGGAAUAUAUUUAGUUCAUCAUUUGAGCUGCCUUCAUACUGGUUUCCUCAGCCUUCCUUCAGCCUGUAAUAUUUUCAGCCCACUGUUUACCUUGUCUCAAUAAAAGGUUUCUAAUGCCAAAUA
rnacentral:lncRNA from 1 species